ensembl:lncRNA
CCCGUCAGGGCCCGCCGCGCCGCCCGCUCCUCCCGCCCGGGCAGGGACCCCCACAGGGCGGCGGGGCCCAGCUCCCGCGCCCCGGAGCCCAGCAUAGCCGCCCACAGCCUGUUUUCAGAUUCCUAAUCAUUCCAGAAGUAUUAAAUGUCAUUGCUGCAAACCUCGGCGGGCGCCGUGUGGGGGCUUAAUGACCACCACGGGCACUCGGAGCCCAGCCCCGGAUCCCAGGAGAAAGGAGUGGACCGAGGAAGGAAGGAAGGCGUGGCUCUCCGUCCGUCUGUCCAUCUAUCUGUUGGUCCACAUGGGCUCCUGAGGCGCGGACAGAGGGACCCAUGAAGGGCGGGACUCGGCGUCCUUGUUUGCUGAGGGGUGGGAGUGACCCAGCGUCUCAGGGACUCGUCCGUCUGUCACUGUCGUCUAAGUGUGCCUUGUGUCCCGUGUCUGGCCCCACCCUGACCGUCACCACCAGCAUCUCCCGCGUGGCUCACGGGACGCCCCCCACGCGCCCCGGCCCAUCAGGUGUCUUCUGGGCCUCCUCCCCAGGGGGCAGCCCCUCAGUGGCCAGGCCAGGUCAGGGGCUAUGCAGCAGCAGGGCUGCUUUCUGUCACCUGGUGGGGGGGCUGUGACCUCCACCUCCCCCAACCCCACAGUAACCUGGCCUCCAUGUUGGGGGCCUGCUAACCAGAGAAAUAGGUUCUUACCUGUACCCAGCUUGAACCUUGAACCCUCUCUUCUCCAGAACUUGAGCAAGGGCUCCAGAUUUCAGACUUUGGCAGCUGCUAGAGACAACCGUUCACCCUGGGUGGUCAGGCCUGGGCACUAGGAGGCGUCUCCUAACCUUCUGUUCCCGAAGUCUUCGUCUCCGGGGGCCACACAGCAAUAUUCAGGUGGUGGGCUGCGGGGCCGACCGACGGCAGUGUCUGACCACCUGUCUGGUGCAUUGUAACCAGUUCCCAGAUCGUGGGGGAUAAUUUGGGUUCAUCUUCAGGCAGGCCGAUGGACGGACACCCCAGGCGGGUGGCCCAUGGAGGCAGAAAGGGGUCCCUGGAAAUAGCUCUGGCACAGAACCUGCCCUGCAGGGGCCUGGGGGUGGCGGUGAAGAGCAGGCUUAGGGGGACAGUGCACAGAGUUGGGGACAUCAUCCCAAAGCUUUGCUGGUGGUUGCAAGGCAGACCGUUCCAGCUCCAGUGGGGUCCAGCUUGCCCCAAAGGGCCUUCUCUCGCCUGGCCCAGCCUGCCUUGCAAGGACCCCAGUACCCUCUGAGCAGGGCAGGAACACCCGCCUUUAAGAGCCUGCUGCUGUAGGAGAUAACGCGUCAGGCCCUGGGGUGGUCUGGUUCUGAAUCUUUAAAAGCCGCAGCCCCCCAACCACCCCCAUCCCCUGCACCUGGGGAGGUGCUGCUCCCACCUCUGGUGGGCGGAAUUCUACCCAGGGACAGCUGUGGCCCUCAGCUGGCCCUCCUGGCAGCUCAGCCCGUGGCUUCUCAGGCCUCACUGGCCACUCAGGCGUGCUGGGUCCCAGAUGUGGACGCCAGUGAGGGUCGGGUGCUAGGGCCACUCACGUACCCACCCCUCCCACUGGCCAGGUGCACAGCGCAGCCCCUGCCAGUGGCCACGGGGACCCAGA